UUCCCCAAACCUAAAGUAUCUCCCAAGCCUCUCCCAGUCUGGGCUGCCGAUGGCUUGAAGAGUUCUUCCAUUCCCAUGGUACCCAUUCCCAUUUUUCUAAACGUUACCCUCAGAAGUCACAGAAGAAAAAAAGAAAAGCGCCGUAUUAAAUCAAGAAAUGUGUCCUGAGGGAAAAGAUGUGAAGAUUGAUUCCUGGAGGUCUCACAUCCACAGGCCAAAGAUGACUUUCCCCUGACAUUUCCAACAAGGGCAUUCAUUUCCCAAAACAUCUUGUCACUUUAUUCACAUUAGAGCCCUUUUGCACAGUAGCGUACUAUACAUUGGAAAGCUUCUUGGUUAGCGUGAUGACUCCGUUUCAGCCAACCAAAUCAAUUUACGUUAACCGAGGCGCAAGCUAACCGAGGUUCCACUGUAGUAGCGAGCUAACGGGCUCGCUAAUAAAACCAUAAAAUGGCCAACGUAUGCUAACCAAGAUUCCACUUUCAAUGUUCAAGCGGGGGCAUAUGUGUUUCACCUGAAAAACUGAGGUGUCCAAAGUGCGGCCCGGGGACCAUUCGCGGACUGCGGCUCACUGUAGGAAUCAAAUUAAACAAAAAGAAAACACAAAUAUAAACGUGCUGACUGUGGUGGGUGACCCUACCAACUAACCGGAACUACCUGCCUCAUCACCGAAAUCCGACCAGAACUGGGCUCCCGGGACAAAGUGGGGCGGAACUUUCAGCCUUUUAGCCGAACUGCUGCAUGUUUCCUCGCCGGUCCCUUCAGCUGGACGUCUGUUACGGGUAGAACCAGUCUAUCCUUGUGAGGUAGGAAAGAAACACAUUCAUCUCCCCGAGUUUGACUGCACCUGUUCCUCUGGUCAGCGAGGACAGCAUUACAACCAUUGCUGGCGUCAAGUUCUCCACUGUGACUUUGUAAUUGUCCAGGCUCGAAUUAGUCAGGUAAACAAAGCCUCUCAGUCGUCCCAAAUGAGAUGUAUCUGACCGGCCUGACCGGAAUAAAACCGGCCAUCAAUUCCUCAUGGAUGAUUUGGAAGUAAUCGGUCAUCCUCGUCCAUGUGUCCCCACACUUCCUCGGUUUGCAUGCGAGCUGGUUCUGCUGCAGAACCCACUCCGUAUCCUACAUCCACACAACUAUUGCUCACUGCUCAGCCCUCGUCCUCCCCCUCCCUGUCUUCAACCGUGUCACGGUACAUACUUGGCAUUUGGAGACGGAGCGCUCUUCCCUUACCAAGUGUGGCACCAGUCAGAAAUACUUGCUGCUACCUCUUCCAAGGCCAAUAUGCACUGAAAUUAUUAUUUGUUUUUUUUUAUAUAUGGGCUAUAUAUGUGGAUAUGAUACUGGGGGGUUGGCCCAUGAUGAAAUGACUCGUUCCAACACGUUAUGCAUGUUACUGACCACAGCACACGUAAACUAUGUGGCACAACGACAAAGGUGACAGUGUGGUCUGCAGUCAUGUGGUGGACCAAGGCAAAGGCAAAGAGUAUUGUGUGCUUUUGUGAAGAGUAGUAUUGUGUGAAUCAGCCAUGGCAACCGAUGACAAAGCGAUAUCACAAAUUGGUGGGCGGAUCCCUCAGAUAUUGACAUUAAGGCUACCAGGGUAGCAACCAGGGUAGCAUUUGUAUCGAUAUCAGCAGAUUGAGAAAUUAAAUGAUAGUCAUUGUUUUUUGUUGGACUUAAUAUUUGUCUGUUGAAAUAAAGUUUUUGUAAUAAUUCAUUUAUUUGAUGAAUUUUACUAAACUGACAGGCAGCACAGUGGUUAGCAUUUUGCUAAUUUCACAAGAUAGACGAGGAUGGGUUUGUCCUGUACUGGUCUGACCCACAUACUACAGCAGAGGCUGUCACACAGCUACAGGGUUUGCCCCCUUGCCCCUUUCUUACAGUAUUUUUUUCACACUUCAAUGUUUCAUAUCGUCAAACAAAUUUUAAUAUGUCAACACAAGAUGCGUUUUUUAAAUCAAAGUUAUUAAGGGCGAAAAAAACCCUCUAAAAACUACAUGGCUAGUGGUUAGCAGCAACAAUUGCAGUCAAGCGUAACUUGCAAUGAGUCCCUUACAACGCUGUGGAGGGAAUUUGGCCCACUCUUUGCUGAAUUGUU